AGCAGUCGCCGCGGGAAUACGUAGGGUGCAAGCGUUAAUCGGAAUUACUGGGCGUAAAGCGUGCGCAGGCGGUUUGUUAAGACAGAUGUGAAAUCCCCGGGCUCAACCUGGGAACUGCAUUUGUGACUGGCAAGCUAGAGUCUGGCAGAGGGGGGUGGAAUUCCGCGUGUAGCAGUGAAAUGCGUAGAUAUCGGAAGGAACACCUGUGGCGAAAGCGGCUCACUGGACCAUAACUGACGCUGAUGCACGAAAGCUAGGGGAGCAAACAGGAUUAGAUACCCCUGUAGUCCCUGUCUCUUAUAC
rnacentral:rRNA from 1 species